UACAGAGGUCCCAAGCGUUGUUCGGAUUCACUGGGCGUAAAGGGCGCGUAGGCGGUCAGCACAAGUCAGUUGUGAAAUCUCCGGGCUUAACUCGGAAAGGUCAACUGAUACUGUGCGACUAGAGUGCAGAAGGGGCAACUGGAAUUCUCGGUGUAGCGGUGAAAUGCGUAGAUAUCGAGAGGAACACCUGCGGCGAAGGCGGGUUGCUGGGCUGACACUGACGCUGAGGCGCGAAAGCCAGGGGAGCGAACGGG
rnacentral:rRNA from 1 species